GAGACUCUGUGCGCGUGCAUAUCAAUAAGCGGAGGAAAAGAAACUAACAAGGAUUCCCUUAGUAACGGCGAGUGAAGCGGGAAGAGCUCAAAUUUGAAAUCUUAAAGGGUUUCCCUUUACGAAUUGUAGUUUAAAGAAGUGUUUUCUGUUGGAGUUUCAGUAAAAGUUCUUUGGAAUAGGACAUCAUAGAGGGUGAGAAUCCCGUAUUUGAUCGUUACUUUCCAGCUGUGUGAUACACUUUCAAAGAGUCGGAUUGUUUGGGAAUGCAGUCCAAGAUGGGUGGUAAAUUUCAUCUAAAGCUAAAUAUUGGCGAGAGACCGAUAGCGAACAAGUACCGUGAGGGAAAGAUGAAAAGAACUUUGAAGAGAGAGUUAAACAGUACGUGAAAUUGUCAAAAGGGAAGCGUUUGACACCAGUGUUGUUUUUCGAAAAUCAAUUACGAAUGUUUUCGAUUUUAAGUAAGUAUUGACCUUAUCAGCUUGCUGCUUUUUUCUUUUACGAAAUUAUUUAAUGCACUUUUCAGGUUAACAAGUCAACAUCAAUUUCUUUUGUUGUAAAAGAGUAAUAGGAAGGUGGCUUUCAUCUUCGGCUGCAAGUGUUUAUAGCCUUUGACUCCUGCAAUCGGAGAGAUUGAGGUCUGCAGCGUAGAUCCUUCGGGGUUAGAUACAUUUGUGCUAAGCUAUAGCCUUUUAUAGACAACUUGUUGACUAUGCUCUAGUCAUGUAGCUUACUCGCUUAUGCUAUUUUACCUACGCUUAGGAUGUUGACAGCAGUAUAGACUGU
rnacentral:rRNA from 1 species